rnacentral:rRNA from 1 species
AUCACCUCUAGCAUUUCCAGUAUUAGAGGCACUGCCUGCCCAGUGACAUCUGUUUAAACGGCCGCGGUAUCCUAACCGUGCAAAGGUAGCAUAAUCACUUGUUCCCUAAAUAGGGACUUGUAUGAAUGGCCACACGAGGGUUUUACUGUCUCUUACUUCCAAUCAGUGAAAUUGACCUUCCCGUGAAGAGGCGGGAAUGACUAAAUAAGACGAGAAGACCCUAUGGAGCUUUAAUUAACUGAUUCACAAAAAACAACACACAAACCUAACCUUCAGGGACAACAAAACUUUUGAUUGAAUCAGCAAUUUCGGUUGGGGUGACCUCGGAGAACAAAACAACCUCCGAGUGAUUUAAAUCCAGACUAACCAGUCAAAAUAUAUAAUCACUUAUUGAUCCAAACCAUUGAUCAACGGAACAAGUUACCCUAGGGAUAACAGCGCAAUCCUAUUCCAGAGUCCAUAUCGACAAUUAGGGUUUACGACCUCGAUGUUGGAUCAAGACAUCCUAAUGGUGCAACCGCUAUUAAGGGUUCGUUUGUUCAACGAUUAAAGUCUUAC